rnacentral:rRNA from 1 species
GAUGAACGCUGGCGGCGUGCCUAAUACAUGCAAGUCGAGCGAACGGACGAGAAUCUUGCUUCUCUGAUGUUAGCGGCGGACGGGUGAGUAACACGUGUAUAACCUACCUAUAAGAGUGGGAUAACUUCGGGAAACCGGAUCUAAUACCGUAUGAGAUUUUGAACCGCAGGGGUCAAAAGUGAGAGACGGUCGUGCUGUCACGUAUAGAUGGUUCCGCGCUGCAUUAGCUGGUUGGUAAGUUAACGGCUUACCAAGGCAACGAUGCAUAGCCGACGUGAGGGGGUGAUAGGCCACACUGGAACUGAGACACGGUCCAGACUCCUACGGGAGGCCGCAGUAGGGAAUGUUACGCAAUGGGGGAAAGCCUGACGGAGUAACGCCGAGUGAGUGAUGAAGGUCUUCCGAUCGUAAAACUCUGUUAUUAGGGAAGAACAUCUGUGUAAGUAACUGUGCACAUCUUGACGGUAACUAAUAAGAAAGCAACGGCUAACUACGUG